CCACGCUGAAACACUGGUUCUCGUCCGAUCAACAACAUUAAGCAACAUCGAGCUUGGUUAGUAACUAGAUGGGUGACCGCUUGUGAAUACCAGGUGCUGUAAG